UCCUAUGCAACAUCUAUUUUAAAAACACUCAAGCUUGUGUGGCCCACCAUUUCUAAUUAUGAAAUCCACUCUGUUGAUCAGGUUCAAUCUUUGAUGUUAGUACCUGAGGCUAAAAAUUAGCUAGAACAACAAGUCAGGUGGGCCACACCACAUGCAAGAAUGGGGAUGAGAUGCCAACCAACAAAGUAGGCCACACAAACACAGAGAGUGUGUGUUUUACGCGGUGCGUAGACGAAUCCGGUUCCAAGUGGGUAUGGCAGAUAAGGACUGGGAGCUCUGCAACGACGAUGGCUUCAUCUACAAGAAGAAAAAGAAAGAAGAAUCAUCUUCUGCUGCCACAGCGAUCAAUCCAGAGGUGGAGGGGACUCGACAUCGAAGGGAUCAGAAGAAAAAGGUUCUGAAAAGGGUGAGAGAGCAGUGUAGGAGAGAGAUCAAGCAAUGGAAAGGACUGUCCACCAAUCCUCAGCAGCUGAAGGACAAGAGCAGACAUGUAGAGGCGUUGCUUCUGCUGCUACCGCUUCCAUCCGAAGAAAUGUCCGCUUAGAGCAGGUCAGGAGAAGGAAGGGAGCAUUUGUCAGCGGUUGAUUGUGGAUGACCUCCUGUCGCAGGCAGAAGCUCAGGAAGAAAUUCUUCAGGACCUAUUAAACCAAUGCGAUGCAGCUGAAGCCUCAUGCAAGGCGCAAGAAGAAUGUCAGAAGCAAUCUUUCAUUCAACUUCCAAUUUGGGCCACACCACAGGCUCUCUUCGCCUCUUUAUCAGAGGUUGACGACCAAGAAAACGAUUAUAACAGCUACAAUGCCCGAAUGUAUUACCUCAAUUAAUCUUGAGCUAUAUAACAUUUUACUCAAUCAUAUUCUGCACAGGAAUGUAGGUGCCACUCUUAUGUGUUGUUCCUCCCUUUGCUUCGGGCUCUUUUAAAAGAAGGAAAUUUUUUUU